rnacentral:rRNA from 1 species
CGCCUCUUGCAAUAUAAGAAAGUAUAAGAGGUCCCGCCUGCCCUGUGACUUUUAGUUUAACGGCCGCGGUAUUUUGACCGUGCGAAGGUAGCGCAAUCACUUGUCUCUUAAAUAGAGACCUGUAUGAAUGGCACGACGAGGGCUUAACUGUCUCCUCUUUUAGGUCAAUGAAAUUGAUUUACCCGUGCAGAAGCGGGUAUAAGGACAUAAGACGAGAAGACCCUAUGGAGCUUUAGACAGUAAGCAGACCAUUCUCCAUAUUCUCCUAUAAGGAAGAAUAAAUCGAAUGGCCCCUGCCCUAAUGUCUUUGGUUGGGGCGACCGCGGAGUAACUAAAUAACCCCCGCAUGGACUGGGCGCAUGCCCCCACAACUAAGAGCCACAGCUCUAGCUAACAGUACCACUGACCACACGAUCCGGCUUCAAUAUACCGAUCAAUGAACCGAGUUACCCUAGGGAUAACAGCGCAAUCCCCUUUUAGAGCCCAUAUCGACAAGGGGGUUUACGACCUCGAUGUUGGAUCAGGACAUCCUAAUGGUGCAGCCGCUAUUAAGGGUUCGUUUGUUCAACGAUUAAAGUCCU